UCUGGAUUUUGGAUGCUGUGGGCAAGCUGGCUGGGGAGAGGACACAACUCGCUUUAGACAGCAGGUUUAGAAUCCCAGCUUGUGGGUGGUCUUCUGAUAUGCAUUGAACCAGCACCUCAUACUGCCUUUUGCAGGGAUGAAGAGCUGGUCACUAACUUGGCAGAUACAAACAGGACACCAAUCUCCCCCACCUUCACCAAGAUAAUAUUAGCUAAGCAUCCUGGGUGUGCUGAGUGACCAAGGACAUCCAGGGCAAUAAUAAAGCAGAAUAUCUCAAAAGGGCUGCAUUUAUCAGAAACUGACUAUCAGGAAAGAUAAACGGAUCAGCCUGAGGAAGUGACCUGAGCUCUACCCUUCUCCUUCAGAUCCUAGAAUAAAUGGCCUUUCUAGAGAAGUAAAAAAUUUCUUAUAGUAAUGAUUUUGAUAAUGGCUGCGGUGCUAAUUCCUCAUUCCAUCCAUGGACACGUAAAUGAAAAACUGGGUUGGGAGAGUUCACAUUUACUGGGAAGAGGUGAGGCAAUCUGUGUAGUCAUAGGUUCAAACGUCCUUAGUCAACUUUGUCAAGACUGACGAGACCUUUCACCUAGAGGGGAGCCAUGGUACAGCUCUGCCCACUUUCUAGGGUCACUGGAAGCCUCUGGAAUUGAGUGUUGACUUCAUCCAGGUCUAAUCAAAAGAGCCGUUGAUUAGAUUGCUGCUUCGCAAUCUGAAUAAGACUAUUACGAUAUGUGGCUCAUGGCCAAAUGGUCAAUGGUCACAGGGCCAAGUUUUUAGAUAGGAAAAGUAGGCUCAGGGUCACUAAAGGUGUGAGCCACCCUACUGGGACAUACAUGCUGGCACCGGGCUCCUGACCUCUGUUCUGCACUCCUCCCAUCCUAGAGUGGGAGGCCGCCUACAUGGGAGUGGAGAAGUAGAGAGGACCUGGUUUGACCGCGAGGCACACAUAAGAAGACUUACCUGCCAAAGAUAUUAAUUUUGUUAUCAGCCUGCUGUUCUAUAUUUUCAUUCUGAACCUGGAAACCCAACUGUUACAUCGUGACUGGGUUACAGAGCAAAUCAGAAUCAGGUUGCCAACCGGGCUCAGAUUAUGCCUUUCUUGCCUUUUUCGUUAUUUAUAUUAUGAUGUGAUCAUCUACAGUAAUUAUUAGUUUUAUAUUUUAACAUCUUUGCAACAAAAAUUCUUUUGAAAAUGUUAUUGGUUUAUGAAUUUUAAAAACCGGAAACACUGGGGUAUAAAGCAGGAUUGCUAAAAUGCCCCUCUUCACUGUGCCCUGCCCAGGUCUUCUUAUUCUGCUAGACUUCUUUUAUCACUUCAUCUGGUUAACACAAAAAAAACCAUAAAACAAUGAGAAUAGGCAAUAUACUUUCCAGGGUUAUAUGCCCUAUAUUUCAAUAGAGAAGAUUCACAGAUCAACUCAGAAAAGAGAUACUCUCCACAAUAAAAGUUAAAAAUUAUCCAAAAACCAUAAAGACCUGACUUCAUUCCCAUUAUUUCCUCAAGCACUCACUUCUCUAGUCACAUUGACUAUUUGCUUUCACACGUUUCUGCUUGGUAUAUGCUUUUCCUUCUGCCCAUAGUGCUAUUCCCCUUUGGUCAGACUGUUGAACUCCUGUUUAUCCUUCAAUAUUAGGCCUAAGUAUUACCAUUUCUGUGAAGUCCUCCAUGACUUCUCCCACUCUCUUUCUUUCAGGCAAGUCAUAUGCCCUUUAUCUCUGUGCCCAUAGUAACCUGGAUGUAUCUCUUGUUUAGCAUCUAACACACUGCAUUUGAAAAAGCUGACUUGAUUUUCUGCCUUCCCUAUUAAACUCUGAGCUCCCUUCCUCAAAGACUCUAUCACCUGGCUCUUUCUACACCCAGCACCUAAAGUACAAUGCUUAGCAUACAUUUGCACUAAGGAGAUCCCUUGGACUCAAAUGAAAAAUAAGGAAGCAAGUGGAAUUGAUUGGCUAAAACCUACACCAACCGCCAUAGUUAAAAAUGCAAGAAAACUUUAAAAUUUAGAAUAAAACAAGAUAAUCCACUAUUACCAUUAUUGUUAUCACAGUUCUGGCAGUUUUAGCCAAGACUAUAAGGCAAGAAAAUGAAAUGAUAUAUAGAAGAAUUGGAAGGAAAGAGCUAAGAUUAUCGCUACUUGAAGAUAAUAUGAUUAUCAAAAAAAUUUUAACUCCUGUUUCUGGCCAAGAUCAAUCAUUCUGCAUGGCACAACCAAAAAGCAAACUACAUAAAAUAGGUUCCAAGACACUAGUCAUCAUACAAUGAAGGAAACUGAUCUCUGAGAACCUGGAAAUAAAUUAUGAGAAUCUUACAAUUGCCCCAGCUUAUUGCUUUGAGAGAGUUUCUAGGUUAUGGCACAGUUAGGCAAAACCCAGGCAGACUGUGGUUAAUUCCUUGAGUUGAGGAAACAGAGCUAAGAGUUCAGGAAGACCAAGUCAGCAAGAGUUUGCAGAAAAGAGUACUGGAGAGGAGACAGAUGCACAGGUAAGAACUCCAGAGAUCUGCAGAUCUUCAAGUAGUCCCCAGACAACAGAUCAGCAAGGAAAUUAUCCAAGGCUAAGGAAAGAACCAACCAAAAGGAUAAGAGGGUAACAGUAUCUGGCACUCACAUAGGGCCAGGAAUAGCGCCUGUUUCUACCAGCACAAAUGAAAAAUCUCAUCAUUUAUGAGCAUUGAACACAUUAUGCUAAAACGUCUUGUCUUAGUACUAGGUGAAGGAUUAGCCCUGGCCAGACAGUCCUACCUAUCAAAUCUUAAAAGCAAGACUUAAAAAGAUCAAAGUAUUUCAAAGUAACUAAACUGCAUCUCAGAGCAAAAGACCCAGAAUAUUUAUGGGAUACAAAACUAUUCUCUACUCAACACAGUAAAAUUUACAACAUAUGGCAUCCAAUAAAAAACUACCAAACAUGCAAAGAAACAGGAAAAAAUAGCCAUAAAGAGUAGAAAAUUCAAUCAAUUGUACCUUUUCAAAAUUUACGAAUAUGCUAAAAAUAGAAAACAAGGAUAUUGAAGCAGUUACUAUUCUUGUAUUCUAUAUGUUUACCAUGUUAAGUGAAGAUAGAAAAUAUCUAAAAACCAACCAAACAAAACCACAUUGAAUGUUUAGAGAUGAAAACUGCAAUGUCUGAAUGUUUGAGAUGAAAAAUAAACUGGAUGGUAUUAAAAGAAUAUUAGCAACCAAGCAUGGUAGCUCAUGCCUGUAAUUCCAGCACUUUGGGAGGCCAAGGCAGGAGAAUUGCUUGAGGCCAGGAGUUCAAAACCAGCCUGGACAACAUCGCAAGACCCCGUCUCUACAAAAAAAUUUAAAAAUUAGCCAGGUGUGAUGGCACACAUUUGUAGUCUCAGCUACUCAGGAGGCUGAGGUGGGAGGAUCACUGGAGCCCAGGAAUUCAAGGCUGCAGUGAGCUAUGAUUGCACCACUGCACUCCAGUCUGGGUGACAGAGCAAGAACUGUCUCAAAAAAAAAAGUUAGACAUUAUAAAAGAAAAGAUUAGUGAACUUGAGGACACAGCAGUAAAUACUAUACCAAAUGACAAACACAGAGACAAAUAGAAUUUUAAAAAUAAACAGAGCUGCCUCUGUGAAGUUUCCUCUGACUUAUCCCACCAGCUUUCCUUCAGGCAAGUCAUGUGCCCUUUAUCUCUGUGCCUAUAACCCCUUGGACAUUUCUCUUGUUCAGCAUAUGAUACAUUGCACUUGGAAGAGCCAACUCGCUUUCCUGCCUUCUCUACUAAGCUAUGAGGCAGUGAGCUAUAAGACUUCAAGUAGGCUAAUAGAAGUCUGAUUGGAGCCCCCAAAGGAGAGGAGAGAGAAAGAGGUAUGGGAAAAAUAUUUGAAGAAAUAAUAACCAAAGCCUUUAACAUGUAGAUCCAAGAAGCUCAACAAACCCCAAGCACAAGAAACAUGAAAAAACUAUACCACAGCUCAUCAUAAUCAAAUUGUUCAAAAAUCAAUGAUAAAGAGAAAAAUAUUUAACACAGCCAAAAGAAAAGGCAUGUUACCUGGAAGAAUAAAGAUAAAAAUUAUAGAAGACUUCUCAUAGAAAACAACACAAGCACAGAGUGAAGCAACAUCUUUAAAGCAGUGAAUGAAAAAAAACUCUGUCAACCCAGAAUUCUGUAUCAGUAGAACUACCUUUCACAAAUGGAGGCAAAAUAAAGACUGUUUCAGACAAACAAGCUGAAAGAAUUUAUAACCACCAGACCCACACUACAAGAAAUAUUAAAGUCUUACAGGAAGAAAGAAAAUGAUACCAAAUGGAAGUCUGGAUACACAAAAUGAAUGAAUACCAAAGGAAAUGGUAACUAUGUGAUGAAAUUUUAAUUAUUAUUUACAUCUCUUUAAAAGAUAGUCAUUUAAACCUAAAUAAUAACAAUGUAGUCUGAAGUUUAUAACAUACAUAAAGGUAAGAUGCAUGAUAACAGUAGCACAAAAUUCUAGCGGGAAGAAAUUAAAGUCUACUACUGUAAGGGCUGGAUGCGGUGGCUCACGCCUGUAAUCCCAGCACUUUGGGAGGCCAAGGCAGGUGGAUCACCUUUGGUUGGGAGUUUGAGACCAGCCUGGCCAACAUGGUAAAGCCCUGUCUCUACUAAAAAUACAAAAAUUAGCUGGGCAUGAUGGCAGGUGUCUGUAAUCCCAGCUGCUCAGGAGGCUGAGGCAGGAGAAUCACUUGAACCAGGGAGGCAGAGGCUGCAGUGAGCCAAUAUCAUGCUGCUGAUCUCCAGCCUGGGUGGCAGAGCAAGACUCCUUCAGAAAGAAAGAAAGAGAGAGAGAAAGAGAGGAAAGAAAAAGAAGGAAAGAAACAAAGAAAGAAAAAGAAAGAAAAAAAGAAAGAAAGAAAGAAAGAGAAAGAAAGAAAUAGAAAGAAAGAAAGAAGAAAGAAGGAAGAAAGAAAAGAGGGAGGAGGGAGGAAGGGGAAGAAAACUACUGUAAGGUAGAAAGAGAGAGAGAGAGAAAGAAAGAAAGAGAAAGAAAGAGAAAGAAGAAAGAAAGGAAAGAAAACUACUGUAAGGUUCUUGUACUAUAUCUGAAAAGACAUAUUAUCACUUAAAGAUAGCAUGUGAUAAGUUAAGAUGUGUACUUUAAACCCUAAAGGAAUCACAAAAAUAAUAAAUAUUUCAUAUCUAGUAAACCAAAAGAAGACAGAGAAAAGAAAUAAAGAAUACAUUAAAUGGGACAAAUAGUAAACAAAUAGCAAGACGAUAGAUCUCAACCUGACUGUUAUCAAUGAACACUUUAAAAGUUUAUGGUCUAUAGGUUUAGGCAAUGGUUUCUAGAGACAACAUCAAAAGCACAAAUAAUAAAAGAAAAAUGAUGAAUUAAAUUUAAUCCAAAUUAAAAGCUUUUUUUUUUGCUUCAAAGGACACCAUUACAACUCACAAAAUGAGAGUGAAUAUUUGCGAAUUAGAUAUCUGAUAAGGAACUUGUGUCUAGAAUAUAUAACGAUCUCUUGCAAUGCAACAACUAAAAGACAAAUAACCUAGCUUUAAAAUGGGCAAAGAAUUUCAAUAGACUUUUCCCCAAAGGAGAUAUAUAAUUGGCCAACAAAUGCUCAAGAUCAUUAGUCACGGGAGAAAUAUAAAUUAAAACUACAAUGCAAUACCACUUUAUACCCACUAGAAUGGCUAUACUAAAGAUGGAGUUGUAACAGCAGUUGGCAAACAUGGAAAAAUUAGAGCCCUCAUAUACUGCUGGUAUAUGAAAAAGAUUGUGUUUUGUUAGCAAGGAAGAUGGGUAGGGUUGGAUGCUAGGAAGCAACCAAAGUGUCUGCUGCAUUAAUAGAUAUGUGCAGAAACAUUCCUGGGUUAGUAGUUGCCUUGCAUUUAGGAUAAAGAUAUGAAAGGGAGGCAUCUCCAACGUAGUGGAGACCGUUCAGGAUUAUUCUCAGAAGACCUGCCUUCUCUGCUGUUUCCCGGCUGUGUGGCCUCAGGCAAGACACUUUCCUCUCUGAGUCUCAGUUUUCUUUCUGGUAAAAUGGAAGUCAGUGUAUACAUUGUGUCUACCAAAUAGGUAGUUGGACAUGAGUAAGUCUUGGUGAGCUGUGCUACGUAGGAUAAGGUUUCAUCAUUUUAUUAUAGUCUUCGGGAAUUCGAAGUCUCUUUGAAUCAGUCUUUCAAUUGAUAUUAACCAAAAAUAUAUACAAAAACCAGGGUCAGGAGUUUGUCCACUUUGGCUUAUUUGGAAAAGGAGUCAAGUGAAUGGUUUGAAACCCCUGAAUGGUCCCAUUUAUCCCGCAUAUCUCUGUAAAUAAAGGUUUGAAUCCUAAUUAUCAUGGCUAAUCCUGCCCCUUCCCAAAACACUAGGGUUUCACUUUGCACUGACUUUGGAAAACGAUUCCCAUCAGAGCUACUUUCAGUAAAAACAUCCAAAGAAGGCUGACAGCUUCCAGUCCCAUAAGUUAUAAGGGAGCAGUGUAGUCAAAUAAUAUUAGUUGAAAUUUAACCUAACUGUCAAAAGCUUUGGUCAAAGAGGAAUUUGGGGUCAAAGUUGAACCUGUGAUUUAACCCGUCCCACGUACACACACCUAUCAGCAGAUGGGGUGAUCUGUCUCACUCCCACUCUCAAUGGACAAUGUGCAUUUUGUGAGCUCUGCCUGCAUCAUGCAAUCUUGUACUUCCCAGGCAAUUUCCCUGGGGCCACUUCCCAUCUAGGGCAGUGGGCUUUAGAGUUUCUAUGAGAUGCUUAUAAGAAUAUUGCUAAAUAGAGUCUUGGCUCUAUCUCGUAGACCUCUAAUUAUUCUCUCAUCUUCACUCUGUGCAAGGCAUUUGUUUUUAUGUGUAAUCAAAGAUCCUGCCAAGAAGCACUUGUAGAUGAAACUGGAGACAUUUGUUUUAUUCUUAUCCGUGCACUCAGGCAUUCAAUAAGCACAUUCUCAGUGCCUUCUAAUCUCAGCAACUUUGCUAAGCUCCAGAGAUACAAAUAAAAACAGUCCCUGCCCUCAAGAAACUUACACAAGUAAUAAGCAGAAGAAAAUAGAAAAAGAAAUGUCAUUACAAACUCAAACCUCCCUGUCCAAUUUUCUCAUUGUACCCUUGACUUAAUAUUAUGAUUAAUAUUUCCUAAAAGUUGAAAUCCUCCUAGUAAUAGAUCAAUAGACUGAAAGUAAGCAGUAGAAAAUUUGCUUUUUGUGCUUUCUGAAAACUUUGCUUCUUAAUCAAAUUUUCUAAUGUUUUAAAUUUAAUAGUUCAACCAGAGUUUGAGGCACAAAGGGAGAGAUAAUAAUUCAGGGCACCUCAAGAUUUUCCCUUCAACCUCCGACCGAAUGGAGCCUUCAGUACCUCUGUGCCUAUUGGCCAUGCUGCAGGAAAGCUCAGUUAUGAAAUCUUCCACUCUGAGAUCUUGGCAGAUCAAAAACUAUAUGGAGCAUUUGGUGAGGUACCAUUUAUGUGAGGCAGUCCCAAAUGUUUGGCACAUUUAUGGGAAGCAUCCUGAUGAAGGAUUUACAGUGGUUUCUUCUAACUGGGAUCAUUCCUAGGUCUAGUACUAAUAAAGAGAAGAAGAUUGGAGCAGCUUUGACAUGAAUGGAUCCAUCUGGCCUGGUCUCCAUACAGGUUUCCUAUGAGUUUGGUCACAGACCCUUCAAGCAAUUGUUUAAAUGAGAAGAUGCUACAUUUUCAAGCAGAGACUGAUUCACUGUAGCUUAAUAAAUUUUUACUGAGCCCA